rnacentral:rRNA from 1 species
UACGUAGGGGGCUAGCGUUGUCCGGAAUCAUUGGGCGUAAAGAGCGUGUAGGCGGUCCGGUAAGUCUGCUGUGAAAGUCCAGGGCUCAACCCUGGAAGGCCGGUGGAAACUGUCGGGCUAGAGUCCGGAAGAGGCGAGUGGAAUUCCCGGUGUAGCGGUGAAAUGCGUAGAGAUCGGGAGGAAGGCCGGUGGCGAAGGCGGCGCUCGUGGAA